rfam:Treponema maltophilum ATCC 51939 genomic scaffold aczIZ-supercont-complete, whole genome shotgun sequence.
UUUUUAUUCCGAGUUUGCGUUGCAAACUCGUUUAUUUAUUACGCUUUCUCACCUAACGUUUACGAAAGCGCUGAAAAAACUUUUUCGGGAAUUGACAUUCCCUGCAAAAGUUUUUAUAGGA